rnacentral:rRNA from 1 species
ACGCUAGCUACAGGCUUAACACAUGCAAGUCGAGGGGCAGCAUGGUCUUAGCUUGCUAAGGCCGAUGGCGACCGGCGCACGGGUGAGUAACACGUAUCCAACCUGCCGUCUACCCUUGGACAGCCUUCUGAAAGGAAGAUUAAUACAAGAUGGCAUCAUGAGUCCGCGUGUUCACAUGAUUAAAGGUAUUCCGGUAGACGAUGGGGAUGCGUUCCAUUAGAUAGUAGGCGGGGUAACGGCCCACCUAGUCUUCGAUGGAUAGGGGUUCUGAGAGGAAGGUCCCCCACAUUGGAACUGAGACACGGUCCAAACUCCUACGGGAGGCAGCAGUGAGGAAUAUUGGUCAAUGGGCGAGAGCCUGAACCAGCCAAGUAGCGUGAAGGAUGACUGCCCUAUGGGUUGUAAACUUCUUUUAUAAAGGAAUAAAGUCGGGUAUGGAUACCCGUUUGCAUGUACUUUAUGAAUAAGGAUCGGCUAACUCCGUGCCAGCAGCCGCGGUAAUACGGAGGAUCCGAGCGUUAUCCGGAUUUAUUGGGUUUAAAGGGAGCGUAGAUGGAUGUUUAAGUCAGUUGUGAAAGUUUGCGGCUCAACCGUAAAAUUGCAGUUGAUACUGGAUAUCUUGAGUGCAGUUGAGGCAGGCGGAAUUCGUGGUGUAGCGGUGAAAUGCUUAGAUAUCACGAAGAACUCCGAUUGCGAAGGCAGCCUGCUAAGCUGCAACUGACAUUGAGGCUCGAAAGUGUGGGUAUCAAACAGGAUUAGAUACCCUGGUAGUCCACACGGUAAACGAUGAAUACUCGCUGUUUGCGAUAUACAGCAAGCGGCCAAGCGAAAGCGUUAAGUAUUCCACCUGGGGAGUACGCCGGCAACGGUGAAACUCAAAGGAAUUGACGGGGGCCCGCACAAGCGGAGGAACAUGUGGUUUAAUUCGAUGAUACGCGAGGAACCUUACCCGGGCUUAAAUUGCAGAUGAAUUACGGUGAAAGCCGUAAGCCGCAAGGCAUCUGUGAAGGUGCUGCAUGGUUGUCGUCAGCUCGUGCCGUGAGGUGUCGGCUUAAGUGCCAUAACGAGCGCAACCCUUGCUGUCAGUUACUAACAGGUCAUGCUGAGGACUCUGACAAGACUGCCAUCGUAAGAUGUGAGGAAGGUGGGGAUGACGUCAAAUCAGCACGGCCCUUACGUCCGGGGCUACACACGUGUUACAAUGGGGGGUACAGAGGGCCGCUACCACGCGAGUGGAUGCCAAUCCCAAAAACCUCUCUCAGUUCGGACUGGAGUCUGCAACCCGACUCCACGAAGCUGGAUUCGCUAGUAAUCGCGCAUCAGCCACGGCGCGGUGAAUACGUUCCCGGGCCUUGUACACACCGCCCGUCAAGCCAUGGGAGCCGGGGGUACCUGAAGUGCGUAACCGGGAGGAGCGCCCUAGGGUAAAACUGGUG